AUUGAACGCUGGCGGCAGGCCUAACACAUGCAAGUCGAGCGGAGCGGCGGACGUGUGAGUAAUGCCUAGGACUCUGCCUGGUAGUGGGGGAUAACGUCCGGAAACGGGCGCUAAUACCGCAUACUAUCAGAUGAGCCUUGGUCGGAUUAGCUAGUUGGUUGGGUAAAGGCCUACCAAGGCGACGAUACGUAACUGGUCUGAGAGGAUGAUCAGACACACUGGAACAGAGACACGGUCCAGACUCCUAAGGGAGGCAGCAGAGGGGAAUAUUGGACAAUGGGCGAAAGCAAGAUACAGCCAUGCCGGGUGUGUGAAGAAGGGCUUCGGAUUGUAAAGCACUUUAAGUUGGGAGGCGGUACCAACAGAAUAAGCACCGGCUAACUUCGUGCCAGCAGCCGCGGUAAUAC
rnacentral:rRNA from 1 species